AAGAAACUAAGAUAAAAUCCAUAAUAUAUGAUUAAGAGAAGAACAUCUAAUGUUAAAAUAUUAAACAAAUACAAUGUUACCCAAUAUAGUAAAGAAAAACGGCUAUCUAUUCUCAGGUGCAUAAAACAUAACCUAAAAAUGACAAAAAGAUCUAUCUAUACCCAGCUAAAAUUGUCGGACAAAAUUUCCCCUGCAGAGGUUGUGCGGCCGCAUAAUCAUGUGUGUGGUCCAUACUUUGAAACUUAGCUUGAAAGGUUGGACUUCUGCGGUCGCACAAUUUUGGGUUGCGGUCGCGCUUCAUCAACCUCUACGGACCGCACAUUUCUGAGUGUGGUCGCACUCUUGAUUCUGCGGUUGCACAAUAAUGGGGCGACCCACACUUGUUGACUUAGGCUUUGGCAAUGGGAGAUUCCUGCAGACCGCACAUCUCUGAAUGCGACAGCGCUCUUGAUUCUGCGGCCGCACAAUAAUGAUGCGGUCCUCAUUUCUUCAUGAUCCAAAAAUCCCAUCUCUCUGAACUUUAUCUUUUGCAGCGCAUAAUAAUUGUGCGGUCCGCAUUUGCAAAGAUUUCCUGUCAGAGGCUUUCUUCAUGUUUUGCGGCCGCACUCAAUAUUGUGCGGUCCACAUGUUGCCCUUUUAGCCUUGUUUUGGUCUUUGUCCAAAAGUACUCCUUCUUGAGUUGAUUUUCAUUUCUUUGGCUCAUAUUCCAACACUCCUACAAGCAAACAUAUUUCAUUAGUUUUCAGGAAUAACUUUAAGUAACUUUGAGCUAAAACGAAAGUAAAAGAGUGCAAAUAAGUAGUCAAAAUCCCUACUUAUCAACUCCCUUAUACUUAGGCUUUUGCUGGUCCUCAAGCAAAUAAGGUAAUUUCCACCUCCACAAGACAAGAACUAUUUCAGCUAGCCUAAGGUGAAUCAAUCACACAUCAAUUGGGAGCAACAUAUACCCACAAUACGUAUGAAUUAUCAAUAAUGCAAUGAUUUGACUUUGUGAGUACAAUAGUUCUAAUGUGACACUAGAGAGUUAGGAGUUGACUUUAUUCAUCAAGGAAGCUCGCUCUUUCAUGUUGGUCAUUGUGGAUCCCAAACUCCUCCCCAUCUACUGUCUAUUAGCAUAUCUCACCUUAGAAUAUAACACUCAAUUCAAAAAUUGUGAAAAGUUUGUUCAUCUCUCUCAAAAGAAUGUCACAAGUACGGCUCUAAGUACCAUAUACUUGCCCCUCAUGUAAAUCACCACUAAUGUAAGCUCACUCAACGUGAAAUCAUGUAGGGCUUUUGCGGGAAGUAAUGAAGGUUUUUUAGAUCAAGGUAGGACUUGAUGGAAUAGAAUGGAUUCAUCUUUCCUUCAGCACUCCAUUUUCUCUUUUUGGCUCAUACUUUGCCAUGCCGAUGAAGUAUCCGCUAUCUCAUCAAGAAUCUCAUAAGCUUCCGCAUACGACGUUGUCAUAAAAUUUCCACCGGCAAGUUGGUUGACCACACAUUGAUUGGUAGUAUUGAUCCCUCUAUAAAAAGUCUGUUGAAUCAUAGCCUCCAUUAAGUCAUUGUUCGGACACUCUUUCACCAUAGUACUAUAUCUUUCCCAUAUCUCAUACAAAGGCUCAUUGGGUUCUUGUUUGAAAGCUAGAACCUCAUUCCUGAGAGUUGCCAUAUGCCCGGGAGAAAAGAACUUGGCAAUAUAUUUCUCGGUCAAUUCAUCCCAUGUAUGGAUAGAAUGAUUUGACAACCUCUCCAACCAAUCCAAGGCCUUCCCCAUAAGAGAGAAAGGGAAUAGCCUCAACCGCAAAGAAUCCUUAGAGACGUUGGUUUGGUUGCUCUCCCAGCAAGUGUCAACAAACCCUUUCAAGUGCUUGUAUGCAUUUUGAUUUGAAGCCCCGGUGAAGAAUUCUCGUUGUUCUAACAGUGUAAGCAUGACAUUUGUGAUUUAAAAGUUUUCCACCUUAAUGCGGGGUGAGACUAUGGCACUUGCAUAUCCUUCAUUCAGCAACACUCGAUGUGCCGUCGCUCUUGGAGAAGGUGGGGUAGGAACGGGAAUGUUGUCUUGAGGAGGGUGGCCUCAUCUAUUUCCUUGAGGUUCAAGAGGAACCUCAUCAACUUAGUCAUCAUCCCGGUCAUCCCCCAAUGGAACGUUUCCAAGAUAAUCAUUGUUGUGGAGAGCCAUUUUAUCACCUACAAUUGAUUCACGAAAAGAUUAGUAACUCGGAAGGAAAAGAAGACAAAUCACACACAAAACCAAAUAUAUAGCUAAAUCUAUUUUUAAGCUCACCGGCAAUGGCGCCAAAAAAUUGAUGUCGCACGCCAAAACUCACACCACUAAUUGGGAUUGUGAUGCGGUCGAUGCAAUUAUAACUACCCAACGUGAGUCGGGGUCGAUUCCAUAGAGAGCUUUAUAUGGGAUUAGGUAUAUACCAAGUUUAGCGUAUGGCGUGCCCAAUAUUGGACUUCCACAUGAAUGGUUGUUUCUUUUCUACUUCUAAUUUGUAUGCUAAUGCUUGCAAUUGAAAAUCUAAGAGACAAUGUUUUUGGUAUUGUUGUUUUUCAAGUUGAUAAAAGAUCUAGGGUCGUGACUUCCACCUAGAUGGUUACUUAACAAAUUGUAGGCUCUAGGAAAAAUUUCUUGGUUACGGUCGUAAUAUAACACUCACACGCAAUUACCCACUCAAUACUUCUCGGUAGUUAGAGUGAUUUUGCCCAAUUUGGCUUUCUCAACCAAAUGGAUAUUGCACAAAACAAGUGAUAAAUGCUCAAAUCGGGUCUUACUAUCUCUAGAUUCUACCCAUUAAUUAGGGCUAUCAAUUUCUUGAGCUCACCCCAAUUCCUUGUUAACCAAGUGUUGCUAGAGUUAGUCUUUCCUUUUCAAGUAGAGACUAAGUCAAUUAGGCAUGAAUUAAUAUUUGAAACCAUUAAUUCUCAAAUUCAGGCAAGAACUAGGCUAGUCUGGGUUGCGGCCGUGCUUCAUCAACUUCGACGGACCGCACAUUUCUUAGUGCGGCCGCACAAUAAUGGUGUGGUCUGCACUUCUUGACCUUGGGAUUUGGAAAUGGGAGACUUUUGGGGGCCGCACAUUUCUGAGUGCGGCCACGCUCUUGAUUCUGUGACCAUACAAUAAUGGUGCGACCCGAAUUUCUUCAUGAUCCAAAAAUCCCAUCUCUCUGAACUUUAUCUUCUAUGGCCGCACAAUAAUUGUGCGGUCCACACUUUGCAAAGACUUCCUGUCAGAGGCUUUCUUCAUAUUUUACGGCCGCACUCAAUAUUGUGCGGUCCGCAUGUUGCCCAUUUAGCCUUGUUUUGGUCUUUGUCCAAAAUUACUCUUUCUUGAAUUGAUUUUCAUUUCUUUGGCUCAUAUUCCAACACUCCUGCAAGCAAGUAUAUUUCGUUAGUUUUUGAGAAUACCUUUAAGCAAUUUUCAGCUAAACGAAAGUAAAAGAGUGCAAAUAAGUAGUCAAAAUCCCCACUUCUCAUGAACCUGGAACAAUACAAGUUAAAAAAAAUAUUGACUUGUCAUACACAAUUCAGGCGGUAAAUUAUACAACAUAACAAACACUGACCAUCACGAAUAUGGUGCAGCAGACACUACAAAUGGAGUGAAUCUAUCAGCACAUAAUUUUAGCCUAAUAUUUCUCGAUUCACCUGCAAAGUCUGGGAAUAGCCUAUCAAAAUGCUUCCAUGCUUCUCCAUCUGACGAAUGACAUAGCACACCAUCUGGCCUUUUAUGUUCAUAAUGUCAUCUCAUAUGAGGAGCGGAACUCAUUGGUACAUACAACCUCUUAACCUUAGUAUAAGGGGUAAAUAGUGCAUCGCCUUCACUGGAACCUUCUUUUAUUUAGCAUUUGUCACUUCUUUGUAACGCGACUGGUUAUAGAAUUUCAAUAUUAAUAUUCUCUGCUAUGGGACUACCUUAUUUACAACCAAAUGAGUUCUGAAAAUUAACAUACCUCUACACUAGUAUGAUUCUCCUUAUGCACAGUCCAUACAUAAUAAUUUUUCAUAAACCCCUUCUUAUACAAAUGAACAGUAACAAUAUCGGACUCCAGUAACUUAAGACACUUGUGUUUCACAUAGAGGAACCUAAUCGUCCCUUAGAUAAGGAACUCAUCAAGUGUUUUUGCCUUAGUAAUAAAGCUAGCAACCCAUUGACACAACCCUGUAUGAUUCAGAUGAUUCCUAUCUACACAAAAAUAUUAAAUAUUAUUUUAUUUAAAGGUUCUUAUUUUAAAAGGUUACCAUUACACAAUAAGUUAAUUUUUAAGAAUCCAAUUUUAAAGAAUUUAAUUUCAAAGGCUUCUAUUUGUAUAGGUACAAAAGUAGAAUUAUUAGCUUAGUAUUACCUAUCCUCUUGUCAUAUUCUCAAAAUCUCUUCUAUAAAGUGAUUGCGAUUCAUUAGAUCGUACUUCAUCAAAUUUCACAAACUAUAUAUUUCUUUUUAUUAAUAUCAUUUAUGAAUAUUUUUUACUAAGAGGAAGAGAGGUAAAAGGAAAACUAAAUACCAAAGCAAUAUCAGUGGCCUCCCAACUCAAAAUGCAAGAAAUCAUAUUUGUUUUCCCCAUAAUACUAUUGAAAUAUCAAAGCAAUUUCCAUUCUCAAGUGGAACUCCACAAGAUAAAUUUGUUCAAAAGAUUAUGAAUGAUCUGUUACAAGAAAACUACUCCACUCAAAAAUACCCAAAAUUUUAUAAAACUGAAAAUCAAUCUAUUUUCUAGCAUAAAAUUCUAAAUACUUGGAUAAAUUUAAUAAUUUUAAUAAAAAUUAUACUAACCUUUCCAUCGGACCACUACAACACCACCACUGAGUAUAGAGGAAGACAAUAUCAUUGGAGUCCACCGCCCCGCUGCUGCUGCACACCCGACCGCCUCUUCUAAAAAAUUGAAAAGGAAAAUGAGAAGAGAGGAGGAGGGAUAGAGAGAAGGAGAGAACGAAAUACAGUACCUUUGUCUUCAAUGGCACCAGUGGAGGGUUCCGCUGUGGGGGGUGUGGGGGAGAGGGGGGGG
rnacentral:lncRNA from 1 species